CCCCGGGUUGUACCCGGGGCUGUUAUAAGUCGUGCCUUCAGCACU
rnacentral:sRNA from 1 species